rnacentral:rRNA from 1 species
AGUGAACGCUGGCGGUAGGCCUAACACAUGCAAGUCGAACGGCAGCACAGGAGAGCUUGCACUCUGGGUGGCGAGUGGCGGACGGGUGAGGAAUACAUCGGAAUCUACCUUUUCGUGGGGGAUAACGUAGGGAAACUUACGCUAAUACCGCAUACGACCUACGGGUGAAAGUGGGGGACCGCAAGGCCUCACGCGAUUAGAUGAGCCGAUGUCCGAUUAGCUAGUUGGCGGGGUAAUGGCCCACCAAGGCGACGAUCGGUAGCUGGUCUGAGAGGAUGAUCAGCCACACUGGAACUGAGACACGGUCCAGACUCCUACGGGAGGCAGCAGUGGGGAAUAUUGGACAAUGGGCGCAAGCCUGAUCCAGCCAUACCGCGUGGGUGAAGAAGGCCUUCGGGUUGUAAAGCCCUUUUGUUGGGAAAGAAAUCCUGUCGAUUAAUACUCGGUGGGGAUGACGGUACCCAAAGAAUGAGCACCGGCUAACUUCGUGCCAGCAGCCGCCGUAAAAC